ensembl:lncRNA
GUACUGUAGUGAUAGUUUGUUUCCUGUAAAACCACUUGGUUAAAAAAGUUAGUCAAUGUAUGGAUGCAUUGCUAUUUGUCAAAAUUACUAUUGAAUAAUUUAGAAGAUUCCUGCUCUGUAUAAUGCUACGUGUUAGACUGUGGGCUUUGGGGAUCAAACCCAGAACCUUUCAGCCUUGAUUCAAGCGUCAGGUUGAGGUUAAUAAUGACUGUUUCGUCUGAUUCAGUAUUGGUUCUUAAUCACAGGUCCUGCGGUGACUUUAAAGGUACUGAGGAUAGAAUGGACAGUGGUUAUAUUUGUAGUGGGGUAUUAUGAUUACAUUAUUUCAACAGGAAGACGGCCAUCUUGGUUAGUGAAGGUGUCUAAACGUCAUCUUUUACUGGGUCUUGUUCUCUGUGGGCCUGCAUCAUUCUGAAGUAGUGAAGGCCUACUCUAUAUCUGAGAGCAUCACUCGUAGGAGAGGGACAUGACCUUCGAGGUGAAUUAACACUGCCGCGACCGCCUCAACACAGAAGUCACUGGUGACGACUGGUUUGUGUUCUUCAGCUCAGCCCAUCCCACUGACAUCCUCUCACCAGCAGGUGGUGCUGCAGUGCACCUUUUCAAGGGAUUCAAAACGGACCUAGCAAUAUGAUCCACUUUACUACCGCUGGAGUUGAUUGAAUCACAGACUGCAGAAGAGUAGACCGUUUGUGACUUUUUUUCUUUUAUGUGUGUGUGUUUGUGUGAACCCUGAACCUUCCAGCCUGGAGUCAAGUGUCAGGAUGACGUUAAUAAUGACUUUUUCUUCUUGUGUCUCCUUGUGUCCUUGGGUGACUUUAAAGGUCUCCAGUCUACUAUGGAUGAGGAGAGAGGGGAGGGGGGUCCUACCUCUAAGACCACUCUGUCUGGGGAACAUGGCCGCCGGAGCAAAGCCAAAAGAAGAGUCCAGCAGCAGAGAGCAGACUCCCCUGGACCCAGAUGUGUCUCCAUGAAGAGUGACAGCUCUAUGGAUCCUCCUGUUGGGUUUAAAGAUGGAAAUCAGUCUAUUGAGAAGAGAGUCCAGAAGGAGAGAGCAGACUCCCCUGGACCCAUUUGUGUCUCCAUGAAGAGUGACCACUCUAUGGAUCAUCCUGGCCAGUUUAAAGAUGGAAAUCAGUCUAUUGAGAAGAU